AAUGCGAUAAGUAAUGUGAAUUGCAGAAUUCAGUGAAUCAUCGAAUCUUUGAACGCACCUUGCGCUCCUUGGUAUUCCGAGGAGCAUGCCUGUUUGAGUGUCCUGGAAUUCUCAACUCUAUUUGCUUUUGUGAAUAGAGCUUGGAUUUGGAGGUUUAUUGCUGGUACUUGUGAUCGGCUCCUCUUGAAUGCAUUAGCUCGAACCUUUGCGGAUCAGCUAUCGGUGUGAUAAUUGUCUACGCCGUUGCAGUGAAGCAUAUCAAUGGGCUCGGCUUCCAAUCGUCCUUUACUGGACAAUGACUUUGACCUUUGACCUCAAAUCAGGUAGGAUUACCCGCUGAACUUAAGC
rnacentral:misc_RNA from 1 species